rnacentral:rRNA from 1 species
UGGGGAAUUUUGGACAAUGGGGGAAACCCUGAUCCAGCCAUCCCGCGUGUGCGAUGAAGGCCUUCGGGUUGUAAAGCACUUUUGGCAGGAAAGAAACGUCGCGGGUUAAUACCCUGCGAACAUGACGGUACCUGCAGAAUAAGCACCGGCUAACUACGUGCCAGCAGCCGCGGUAAUACGUAGGGUGCAAGCGUUAAUCGGAAUUACUGGGCGUAAAGCGUGCGCAGGCGGUUCGGAAAGAAAGAUGUGAAAUCCCAGAGCUUAACUUUGGAACUGCAUUUUUAACUACCGGGCUAGAGUGUGUCAGAGGGAGGUGGAAUUCCGCGUGUAGCAGUGAAAUGCGUAGAUAUGCGGAGGAACACCGAUGGCGAAGGCAGCCUCCUGGGAUAACACUGACGCUCAUGCACGAAAGCGUGGGGAGCAAACAGGAUUAGAUACCCUGGUAGUCCACGCCCUAAACGAUGUCAACUAGCUGUUGGGGCCUUCGGGCCUUGGUAGCGCAGCUAACGCGUGAAGUUGACCGCCUGGGGAGUACGGUCGCAAGAUU